UGCGAGUCGAGCGUCUCUAGCUAUGUUGAGACGCGGCAUACGGCUCAGUAACGCGUGGCUAACCUACCCUCGGGACGGAGACAACCCCGGGAAACUGGGACUAAUAUCCGAUAGGCGAGGAGGCCUGGAAUGGUUUCUCACCUAAAAGACUUUGAAAACAUGCUUUCAUUGUUGCCUGAGGAUGGGGCCGCGCCCGAUCAGGUUGUUGGUGAGGUAAUGGCUCACCAAGCCUAUAACCGGUACGGGCCGUGAGAGCGGUAGCCCGGAGAUGGGUACUGAGACAAGGACCCAGGCCCUACGGGGCGCAGCAGUCGCGAAAACUCCGCAAUGCACGAAAGUGUGACGGGGCUACCCCGAGUGCUCUCCGCUGAGGAAAGCUUUUCCCUGGUAUAACUAGCCAGGGGAAUAAGGAGAGGGCAAGACUGGUGUCAGCCGCCGCGGUAAUACCAGCUCUCCGAGUGGUAGGGAUGAUUAUUGGGCUUAAAGCGUCCGUAGCCGGCUUAGCAAGUCUCCUGUUAAACUCAGCGACUUAAUCGUUGAAUCGCGGGAGAUACUACUAGGCUAGGAGGCGGGAGAGGUCGACGGUACUUCCGGGGUAGGGGUGAAAUCCUAUAAUCCCGGGAGGACCACCAGUGGCGAGGGCUGUCGACUAGAACGCGCUCGACGGUGAGGGACGAAAGCUGGGGGAGCGAACCGGAUUAGAUACCCGGGUAGUCCCAGCUGUAAACGAUGCGGGCUAGGUGUUGGAAUGGCUACGUGCCAUUUCAGUGCCGCAGGGAAAGCCAUUAAGCCCGCCGCCUGGGGAGUACGGCCGCAAGGCUGAAACUUAA
rnacentral:rRNA from 1 species